rnacentral:rRNA from 1 species
GAUGAACGCUGGCGGCGUGCCUAACACAUGCAAGUCGAACGAAGCGCCUGGCCCCGACUUCUUCGGAACGAGGAGCCUUGCGACUGAGUGGCGGACGGGUGAGUAACGCGUGGGCAACCUGCCUUGCACUGGGGGAUAACAGCCAGAAAUGGCUGCUAAUACCGCAUAAGACCGAAGCGCCGCAUGGCGCGGCGGCCAAAGCCCCGGCGGUGCAAGAUGGGCCCGCGUCUGAUUAGGUAGUUGGCGGGGUAACGGCCCACCAAGCCGACGAUCAGUAGCCGACCUGAGAGGGUGACCGGCCACAUUGGGACUGAGACACGGCCCAGACUCCUACGGGAGGCAGCAGUGGGGAAUAUUGCACAAUGGGGGAAACCCUGAUGCAGCGACGCCGCGUGAAGGAUGAAGUAUUUCGGUAUGUAAACUUCUAUCAGCAGGGAAGAAGAUGACGGUACCUGACUAAGAAGCCCCGGCUAACUACGUG